AACGAACGCUGGCGGCAGGCUUAACACAUGCAAGUCGAACGCCCCGCAAGGGGAGUGGCAGACGGGUGAGUAACGCGUGGGAAUCUACCCAUCCCUACGGAACAACUCCGGGAAACUGGAGCUAAUACCGUAUACGCCCUUAGGGGGAAAGAUUUAUCGGGGAUGAAUGAGCCCGCGUUGGAUUAGCUAGUUGGUGGGGUAAAGGCCGACCAAGGCGACGAUCCAUAGCUGGUCUGAGAGGAUGAUCAGCCACAUUGGGACUGAGACACGGCCCAAACUCCUACGGGAGGCAGCAGUGGGGAAUAUUGGACAAUGGGCGCAAGCCUGAUCCAGCCAUGCCGCGUGAGUGAUGAAGGCCUUAGGGUUGUAAAGCUCUUUCACCGAUGAAGAUAAUGACGGUAGUCGGAGAAGAAGCCCCGGCUAACUUCGUGCCAGCCGCCGCUGUAAGAC
rnacentral:rRNA from 1 species